rnacentral:lncRNA from 1 species
GAUGGGAAAAUAAUUGUAAGAGUUGUGAAGCAAGUCCCGCCUCUCAGUCGGCUUUUAAACGCGAGCGGGCUAGUGUGUGUGCGAGCGUACGUGGUACUAACUAAUACACAAACGAAGGAUCUUCGGCGAUCUUCGGCGAUCUUCGGGACUAAGGGGAUAAGAGGACAAAGAAGUGAAGCCCUCAGAAAAACAUGCCAAAUCGACAACAUCAAUGAUUGGGUAUUGGGGAGGAAAAUUCAGUGGAACGAUCACAUAACCCGAAUGACAGGAGACCGAAUUGUGAAGAUCGCUAGAGAUAGAUCACCACUAGGGAAACGAAGCCCUGGAAGACCACGAAAACGAUGGGCGGACAAUAUACCUACAAGAAGCGAGUUGCGAUGAAGAACAGGCAAUAUGCCUAUUUGGACGCUGGAA